rnacentral:lncRNA from 1 species
CAGCUCGACAAAGUAGCCUGAAGAUCCCUUCUGAUCACUGCUUUUGAAGGGGGGGCGGGGAAGUGACCUGCCAGUGGCGAUGCAGCUGCUGCAAGUAGGACCCCUGACAUUACAGGUGCUAUCUGUCAGAAUAUAACUUUUUUUUUUCCCCUAAGACCUCUUCCAGCUUUUGGGAAUGUAUGUAUGUUUGAGCCAUUGCCACACCGUCUGGCAGGAAAGUACUGAUUUUUGUCUUCACAACACUUGCAGAGCGAGGCAGUGCAGUAUUGUUACCUUCUAUGCUGGUCAUCUCUUGCUGUUAAGGAGAGAAAGCUCAACUAGUUACUGUGGGGGACCCAGAAUCCAUACAGUGGUGCUGACUAAGCAAGGAUGGGCAAGCAAGCACAAAGAUUGGUCGCUAUCCCUAAAGGCAACGCAAUUGCUCUUAGACUGCAGUCAUAGACAGAUGUGCAGAAAGGCAAGUGGACAACAGAUGGAGCACGUGCAUUGUGUACUGGCAAUCUUGUUCUGAACUUCAUCUUCCAUGUGGUUGGCUCAAGUGAUUUCACCAGCAAGCAGCUAGGAAUAUCUUCUGUGAGCUGUAAAUCCUUUCCACAAGCUGCUGAUCCAUAGUUUCUGAGAAGAUCUGAGUGAGUAUCACCUUAUCACUGUAUUGCGGAUAACUGAAGUAUCUACACAGAGUGAUAAUAAUAUAAGAUCACAUUCCUCGUUGUUAAGAAUGGCAUGCUUUCUCUUACAAGUAAGUUUUGUUUGUCUCUUUAGUCCUUGUCACGUUCCAUAGUUUUAAUUCUCCCUGAUUCCAGAAUGGGCUUGAUCUCAACUCAAUUACAGGUUAGCAUAUAGAGUAGGCAAACGACCAGAGGCAAACAUGGGCAAGUAAUGAUUACAGAAAUGCAUGACUAUUUUUGUCCAUAUAUAAAUUAAUGGAUAAAUUGCUUUUCAGUAUUUUACUAAACUUUUUUUUAUUUUAGGUAUAAUUCAUAUUAUCAGUCAUGUGCUUUGUUCGUGUCACAGUGUUAAGCAGGUUAUACAUUAGUGUGAAUCAUUAGGAGACUUUACUAGGUGUAUUUAAUGUUAUGAAUCAUAGAUUCACCUUUUAUCACAGGCAAGUCCCUUAUUUCUCCCAUCUGUGAAAAUGGGGCAUUCAGAACUUGCUGCCUUAUAUGGCUGUUUUGCUUUCAUUUGCAGUUCAGAUUCUGCAGUAUAUAAGAGGACUUGUUUGGUGGGAUGUAGAAGUUCCAGCUAGGGAUUUGCUUCAGUACUUUGGCUCUUGUUUCAAUGAGUACACCUGAGUGAAGCUCUGUUAAAUCUUUCUGCUCUUUGAGAGCACUUGCCUACAAGAGCUAAGCAAUGUCAGUGUUAAGCCUUUUUUUCCCUCAAAAAGUGCCUGAGAAUCUGACAGUCUGUGGCAGAAAUCUCCUGUCACUCCCAUGACUGUGCUGCUGUCGUAUGUUUGACAGUUCAUAAUGAUGUUGGUAAAUCCAAACUUUCCUUAUAUUUGGUAAAAUACAAGAGGUUUUAGAUGUGCUUGAACUGACAAAUAACCUAGAAUCAUUAGGAUUGGGUUGGAAACCAAAGGGUUGGUUAGGAAAUAAUUAUAUUUUUAGCAAACAAAACAGAAUAGUAAUAAAGAUGUCAUUUUGGCACCUUGCAGUAGAGUUUUAUUUUCAUCUUUUUAGUGUUCUACUCAUCAGUUCCUUCCAGGCUAAAGAGGUAAGUUUUAUCAAGAUCCCCACGCACUUUCACUAGAAGCCCCAUGUCACUCCAUGGGAUAGAGAAGGAACCAUUCAAGAUACCUCAAGAUCAUCUUCAAGACCUCUAAGAUCAUCUAGUCCAACCAUCUACCUACUGCCAAUAUUGCCCACUAAAUUAUGUCCCUUAAUACCACAUCUACGCUUUCUUUAAACAUCUCCAGAGAUGGUAACUCCAUUAUCUCCCUGGGCAGCGUUAUUGCUUUUUCAAAGAAAUUAUUCCUAAUAUCCAACCUGAACUUCCCCUGGCACGACUUCAGGCCAUUCCCUCUCAUCCUGUCACUGUUACCUGGGAGAAGAGGCCAACCCCCACCUCACCACAACCUCCUUUCAGGCAGUUGUAGAGGGCAAUAAGAUCUACCCUGAGCCUCCUUUUCUCCUGAUUGAACAAUCCCAGCUCCCUCAGCUGCUUCCUGUAAUACCUGUGCUCCAGACCCUUCACAGCUUUGUUGCCUGUCAACAAGUGAGGCUCCAGGGCCUCACUUUCUUGUACUGAGGGACCCAAAAGUGAACACAGUACUUGAGGUGCAGCCUCACCAGUGCCACGUACAGAUAGACAAUUAUCUCCCCAGUCCUCCUGACUGCAAUAUUUCUGAUACAAGCCAGGAUGACAUUGGCCUUCUUGGCCACCUGGGUACACUUCUGGCUCAUGCUUAGCCCUCCCCCUACAUCCAACUGGUCCUGUUACACAAGCAGGUCCACUGUCAGCUUUGGAAAACUGCUGGGGAGAUGAUUGUCUAUGAGAAUACUCUCUGUUCACCAAACUCACCCAGCCAACUGGAGAGGGAUUGUUCCUGAUGAGGAGAUAUCUCCAAAGCAUUUUAUCUUCUGUCUUCUUCAGUGUCCUUAAUCAGCUUCUGUGUCUUUCCUUUCUUCAGCAGCUCUGUGCACCACACCCCCACAGCACUCUCCUCAGCAUUGUGCCCCCAUUCAUUUCAGAGCAGCUUAAAUUGGUGCUCGGGUAGGAAGAUAUAGGAGAGCAUGCAGAAAGCAUUUGAAAGGGACGUGUAUUCAAAAUAUCCUGGGAGAUGCUGUACUGUGGUAUGGAUUUCCAACUGGAUAACAUUUUGCAUUUUAUGGUCCUGUCUGCAUUCCUGUGAUGCAUUGGGGAAAAUGAGGAUUUUUUUGUAUUUAAGUGGAGAAAGCCACCCAUGUGAGAGAAACGUUAAAUGAUCCAUUCUUCUCAACUUUUCUCAACUCAUUUUGCUCUUUCUGUUACUCCAGUGAAUCUCUCUAUCCCACAAGCAGCCAUUCAUGCGCAGCAGUUUUCCAGAGCUGACAGUGGACCUGCUUGUGUAGCAGGACCAGUUGGAUGUACGGGGAGAGUAUAAUGACCUGAUGGAUGUUGCAACACAUUUCUGCUGUGCAUGAGCUCAGCAGAGCUACAUGACAAAUGGUUUUUACUGCUCUGGCUUGCCAAAGACUUCAGUUUGUGCCUCCACCACCACUGGAGAGAUUUGUGGUUGCUCAUCACCUCAUGGAUCAGGUCUUUUUGUUAAUGAUGUCUGUGAGAACGUGUCAUGCUUGCUUACGGACACCACUUGAUGUUAAUUCCUUCAGGACUCAAGGAUAACGUGCCAGGAAUGAAGAGGAAUUGGUUGAGUUAACAAAGGGAAAAGUCACUAGCAGAAAUAAUAGUGGUGCUAUACUAGGUAUUCUUCUACUCCCAAAAGGCUAAGCUAAGGGCUGUUGAAACACAGUGCGAUCUAUUUUCCAGUUUUAUGUAUAUUUGCAUUUUGUUUUCAUGGAAAGAGGGGAAGGAAAGGUUUCACAGAGCCCAGUUGUUUGCUCUUGGUUUAGGCGAUGCUUGGUAGGUUUGCCUCCGAUGUCUUUGUUUUCAAGUGUUGCACACAAUUAUUUCCACUGAAGUCAGCAUUUCUGGAAAUCCAGGUCACUUAAGUCGUCUGACAGGGCGUGGAGCAUGACUACGUGACCUGCAGCAGCAAUCCAGGGCAAUGUGGGAGGGAAGGAUGAAGUCAGGAAGGGCCUUUUUCAUACAGGUCCUGCUGCUAAACAAACAGUUUGCAUGGCUUUCGUGUUUCCGCUGAUGACAACAGAACUUCUGACUAGAAAUAUAAUAGAUUUUGUGCUUCGCACUUAUGUUUUGCUGUGUUCACCUUGGUGGUUAUAACCCGGGAUCCUGAUCCUUCUUGUAAGAAAUGGCAGAAGCCCCACUGACAGCAGAGGGAGAGGAUGAGGUUCCCCACACGUUUUUUCCACUGGAUACAGAAAUAAAGCAGCAGACUUCAAAAUGCAGCUACUACAGUUUGUCAGGAUGUUUCUUUCCGUAUUCCUUUGCCCUUAAUGACUGCAGCCUCCAACGGACAAGGCAGGAAGAGGGUCAGAUGUCAUAGAGUGUGAGUAGUCAUCAAUUCUAACUUGUUCAAUCACGUAUGCAGUGAAGUUUAAGAAGGCAUGAGGAUUCUACUCCGCCUUCUCUUUUGUAUGGGUCCCGGUGGAAAAAUGGCUAACACCAGAAACAUCUUGGUGAUGUAUGCAUAGCCGGCCGUAAUACAAAGCUGGAUCUGGAGGAAGAGUCGUCUGCUGAUGUAGCACUUCAGGUCGUGUUCCUGAUAACACUGUUUCCUCUACAGAUGGGACAGGCCUCCAUUCCCCUCCUUGUCAGUGUCUGUGGUGUAAAAAUCCUUGCUUGAGUGAGGCCCUCCCUUGCUUCCUUUUAUUGGCAGCAGAGCAACAGGCCUUCUCAGGAUGUGAAUCAUUGGACCUCUUUGCAACGUUGCAUUGAGGUAAGAUUAAUGUUGUCUUCCCACUAGUGACUAAGGGAGCUCCAGUGUGACUAGAUUUGAUUUAGCGUCUGCUGUACAGAAGCCUACAGCUGCUCAGAGGCAUCCCUCUUGCCUGAUUAGAACUGCUUUCUUUGCUGCAGAAUUGAUUUUGGUGAUGCAGAUCCAUGCAAAUAAAGCAGAUGGGUACAAUUAUGUUCUAUUUGCCCUAAAGUUGGAUUUGCUGUCUGUAAAGAUGACACUGCUGUUCUCCUGUAUGGACUUGAUGACUUUGAAUGUCCUUUCCAACCUCAGUGACUGUAUGGCUACUGCUCUUCUACCCUGUGUGUGGCCAUGGGACAGCCCCAGCAUGCUUGGCAGGUACAUACAAUGCCCAAAAAUACCCAUGGGGAUGUCUGCAGGCUCCCUUCUGGACUUGUGCCUCAGCUGCAGUGUGAGCAUGUCCACGGUGUUGAAAGAUGCCUCGGGGACACGAUGCUCCUUCUGUUUUCAGGCUGUGAGUGCGUGAGUUGGAAGAAUUACACUAGGGCUAAGAGCAAGCAUGAAAGAUGUCAAGUGAGGGCUGAUGCUAUAUGCUCAAAGGGGCUGGGAUGUUUCCAGGCACGGUGAGUUCCUGCACGCUCAAGGGAACAUGCUGAAGAAAGCUAGCAGUGAGAGCAUUUCAGAAGACCAAAGUAUUUUUUUUCGUGGAGAAAAAAAAAUGAAAUGAGAAACCACAACUUUGGGAUCUCCAAAGGCAACUGAAAAUUUGGAUGAUGCCGGGCUAUGGGAUGGAAUAAGCUGCUCUUUCUACACAUGGAUAUGUUCUGGGAAGAAAGGUGACUUUUUCUCCUUACGCGUCACCAAAGACUCACCCUGAUUUGGGGUUGUCAGGUACUGGGGAGAAAUGCAAUUUAUUCUGAAGAUGAGACAGUCUCUCUUGGGUUUUAUAACUUUCUGCGCUAGUAGAGUUGGUUACUAUGUGUACCAUUAUCUCCUUCUUUGGCAGACAAAGAUUGCAGAAGAUGACAACAAUAAUUUAGAUAGCUUAACAUUAAAAAAAAAAAAAAGCUUUUCUAGAUCCUAAUUUACUUGUUAAUUAUUAAACUUCAACCCUGCAGAGUGAUAUUUUCCAUUCCAGAGGUUUGUUUCAGAGUGGAGUGUCAAAAGUCAAAUGACAAAUGUUUUGCUGAAUCUGUAGUUAGGAAACUUGCUAUUUCUGCCAAUGUGAAAAAGACUCAGAGAGGAGGGAGGAUGAUGCCAUUGGCCUGGAGCAUGGAGGUGGCAGCAGGGUCAGUGGUCUGGCAAUAGCUGAACUGCAACUGAGGCAGUGGAAGCUGGACUAGAGGAGCCAGCACUGACUCUGAGGCUCUCCAUUUCUUUUCUGUUGGCCAGCAUGUGGCUCUGACAUAGAGUUUUGCCCUUCCUUGGGAUGUAGCCAUGUUGGCAGCCUUGGUGAUGCUGCAGAGCCUAGCAGUCCCAUGACACUGAGGGCCCUCUCCAGACACGGCCUAUGGUGUCCGUGUUGGCCCUGGGCAGCUUAGUGGAGGUGCCUUUAAAUCCCACAGGCCCUGGUGACAGCUAAUAUUUGGGCCAAUCUGGGAGGGCUGGGUGUUGGUCCACCUACAUCAGUCAUUUAUCAACUCAUGGGACGUGCCCACAGUGUGAGGGCCUGCACACGUGCAACCAUGUGGUUGUGGACUCUGAAGCCUGGGGCUUUCUUACCAAAAAGUGUGUGUAUUAAACAUGAGGCUGGUGUGUCCACGUGCAGAGCAGACAGGGUGCUUCAGGGCCAGUACUCUGAUGCUGUCUUUGAAGGUAGGUGACAUGGACAGCCUGACCUAGCUGUGGAUGUUGCUGUUCAUUGCAGAGGAGUUGGACUAGGUGGCCUUCAGAGGUCCUUUCCAACUCUAAAGAUUCUAUGAUUCUAUGACAAAUGAGUUUGUUCCUGGGUGAGCCUUGGGGCUGCUCUCCUGCAGCCCCAUGGAUGGAUCUUUGGAGGAUACAGGGCAACUACUUUAUUAGGUUCGGUGGUCUAUGUCUUCACCAUAGAUUUAAUGCUGUAGGAAAACAGAGAGAAGCCCCAGCAGUGGCUUUAACAGCCUGCACUGACCUGGGCCUGCCAGAAAGCCUGCAGUAAUGUUCCAUCCAGCGUCAGCAGCUCCACUCCUGAGAGGCACUGCGGUCCUCCAGACCUGCCCAGCUCUCUCUGAACUGACAUGACUCUAUGCUGAACCCUCGGGGUUGGUAAUAGCCAGCAGGACUUUAUUUAAUGACUGAAAAUACCACUCCUGCAAGGGAGAACCACCCAUACGCAUUCAGAGGUGCCUAUUGUGCCUUCAGGCAAAAUCCAAGGCAGCGCGAGCUGCACAUGUACCCUCAGUGACUAAAUAAGGGAGAAAGCUCUGCACAGGAGGGCUGCUCUGAAGAAGUGCUUUCACCGCUGAAAAUUGCAGUUCCUCAGGAAACAAAGUGGUAAGCACAUGAGUUAUAAAGGUCACAUGAAGCUCUCCAUAACAGACUCUGUGACAGGAGGUUGUAGCAAGGUGGCAGUCAGCCUCUUCUCCCAGGUAACAGUGAUAGGAUGAGAGAUAAUAACCUUAAGUUGCAGCAGGAGAGGUUCAGGUUGGAUAUUAGGAAACAUUUAUUUUCCAGAAGAGUGGUCAUGCAACGGAACAGGCUGCCCAGGGAUGUAGUGGAGUCACUGUCCCUGGAGGUGUCCCGGAACCGUGUGGAUGUGGCACUGAGAGACAUGGUCAGUGGGCAUGGUGGGGAUGGGUUGAGGCUGGACUUGGUGAUCUUAGAGUUCUUUUUCAACCUUAAUGGUUCUAUGAAUUCUAUGAUUCUAACAGUGUUCUCGAGAAUGGAAACUAAGAAAUAAAUGAGUGGCAAGAGUCCUACCUAAAGCGAAGGUCUUUACAAGUAUUACCCAGGGAAUUCCCCCUAAUUAUUGAACAUCACUCAGCUACUUGAGCCUUACAAUGGUGUUGCUGGAAUAAGCCUCAAAAACAAGAGCAAACUACUACUACGUGGUUUUCUGAGUCUUGCAAAUGAAGUUUCACAGUCCCAGUGCUGAGAUUCAUCUUAUAAUGCUUUGGCAUGCCUUCUACUAUCUAGAUACUUGUGCUCCAUCUAGUGAAUAAAUUUAUUGCUCAUCCUGGAUCAGCUUUGGCUGUGGAGAGGUCCUGGGGAAAAGAAAUGCAAUUUAUGAAUUUGACCUAUGCAAAAAUGGGAAUUACCCAGGAAGAUUCUAAGUCCGAUUUUACUGGAAGGGUAAGAAUGACAGUGAUUGUAGCUUCCAGCUGCUCAUUGACAUGUCUUUAAAUUCUUCUUAGAAGACUUGAGGGUUUUUCUUAAUGAAGUUUCCCAUGAAAAUCUAUUUGUUUUUAUAUUCAGUGGGCGGAUUUACUUGUUAUGUGAAGCAAAUGAAGGGGAAGAGGUAAAAUGAGAAAAGCUGGUUCAAGUACAUUAACUGUAUCUGUUACAACCCAUUUUUACUGUUCUUGUUCAGCAGCCAAAACACAUUCCUCUUUUAUAAAAGAAGGAACACAGGGGCACCAGCUCACAGAUCUUUAAUGCAAUAAAGUUGUCUGGAGAUGUAUGUGAGGGGCCCCAUGCUGCUGGGCACUGAUGAGAGAAGAGGAGAGACUCAGAGUGCCAGCAUGGAGACACUCCAGACCUGCUCUGGUGUCUGCUGAAGACCCUAAGAGACUCAGAGAGGUCUGGGUUUUCUCCUUCCUUCUUCCUUCCUGCUGUCCUUCUGCCUCUCAGACUGCCUUGCCUAACCUUUGCCAGACAUAUCUUAGAAUCACAGAAUUGUUUGAGUUGGAAUGGACCCUUAAAGGCCAUCUGAUUCAAAGCCCUGCAGUGAAGAGGGACACCCACAGGUAGAUCAGGUUGCUCAGAGCCUCAUCCAGCCUGACCUUGAGUCUCCAGGGAUGGGGCAUCCACCACCUCUCUGGGCAACCUCUUCCAGUACCUCACCACUCUUACUGUAAAAAACUUUGCCCUUAUAUCCAAUCUAAAUCUCCCCUCUCUUAGUCUGAAACCACUUCCCCUUGUUAUAGCACAGCAGACCUUGCUAAAGAAUCUGCCCCCUUCCUUCUUAAAGCCUCCCUUUAGAUACUGAAAGGCCACUGGCAGGUCUCCCUGGAACCUUCUCUUCUCCAGGCUGAACAGUGUGGUAUCUCAUGCCAUGUUCCACCUUUUCUUUUUCUCUGUUUCCAUAUUGAAACUGUGAGCGGGAAGUCGACACAAGGGGCCAUGAAAAGAAAGGCCAUGGUAUUUUUUGCUGAGAAUGUGUUUUUGGGGUCCUGUUUGAUACUCAUGAAAGAAAAUUGCUCUUUUCAGUUUUCCAACUCUGGGCCAGACCCAGGGGCUAGCAGACCCCAUAGUUGUACCCCACAGCCUGAUCUGCACCGGACACCUUCCUCUUGCUGCCGCUUUUGUCUUAAACCAGGCUCCCGUGUCAUGGUCCUGCUGGGUGUUGAAGCCUUCUAUCUGCCCCAAUGGCCCAGGAUGAUGGCCAUGGUUGGUGAGGUGGCUGGUGGUUGCCCAAAAGUGCUGUGGGGCUCACCCUCCGCCACCUCUCUCCUUAGCCCCUGGCCAUGCACGAUCAGACUGGAAGCAGCACAACUGAGAGCCAUUUGCUCUGUCUGAGUGUGCACGUGUUUUACGGAGUGGUGACAACAUGAUGUACACAUUUCAACCAGAUGUGAUGGCUGUGUAGCAUAGUAGCACCAGGGACGCUCGACUGCGCAGGGCUGGAAGCAGUGGCACAGGAAGUCUGGUCCCAUAUUUACCUUUCCCUGCAGCUAUGUCCUGGGGUAAGGAGGAUGGAGCUGGGCCACUGCUGGCAUGGGAGACUCCCUGGGCACACUGAGCUGAAGGAAACAAGUCAGUCCAGGGCACAGUUUUGUGCCUUCUUUAUCUCUAUUGACUCUAACUGGGUGCUAAAACCCUGCUUUCCAUAGCAGAGAUGAAAAUAAGAUCUUGACAAUAAAUGCUGUAUGAUGAC